rfam:Butyrivibrio proteoclasticus strain P18 genome assembly, contig: Ga0066879_144
GGCUCCUUAGUCUAAUCGGCUAGGACGCCAGCCUCUCAAGCUGGAGAUGUCGGGUUCAAACCCCGCAGGAGCUA